GCCGGUGUAGCUCAGUUGGCAGAGCAGCUGAUUCGUAAUCAGCAGGUCGGUGGUUCGAGUCCACUCGCCGGCACCA
rnacentral:tRNA from 1 species